UGGGGAAUCUUGGACAAUGGGGGCAACCCUGAUCCAGCCAUGCCGCGUGAGUGAUGAAGGCCUUAGGGUCGUAAAGCUCUUUCGCCUGUGAAGAUAAUGACGGUAGCAGGUAAAGAAACCCCGGCUAACUCCGUGCCAGCAGCCGCGGUAAUACGGAGGGGGUUAGCGUUGUUCGGAAUUACUGGGCGUAAAGCGCACGUAGGCGGACCAGAAAGUUGGGGGUGAAAUCCCGGGGGCUCAACCCCGGAACUGCCUCCAAAACUAUUGGUCUAGAGUUCGAGAGAGGUGAGUGGAAUUCCAAGUGUAGAGGUGAAAUUCGUAGAUAUUUGGAGGAACACCAGUGGCGAAGGCGGCUCACUGGCUCGAUAACUGACGCUGAGGUGCGAAAAGUGUGGGGAGCAAAACAGGAUUAGAUACCCUGGUAGUCCACACCGUAAAACGAUGAAUGCCAGUCGUCGGGUAGCAUGCUAUUCGGUGACACACCUAACGGAUUAAGCAUUCCGCCUGGGGAGUAC
rnacentral:rRNA from 1 species